rnacentral:lncRNA from 1 species
UUAAUGAACAAAAUAAAUGAAAACAUAUAUGUAUAUAUAUACCGUAAUUAGAUAAAUGAUGUCAACCGAGUCAAGAUAAUUUCAACCCAUCUUUUUCUAUUUCAGUGAAGGGUUAGGCAGCAAUAUUCCUCACCCCCACAUUUCAAGAAAACGUUUCUAAAAAAAUCAAAAAUGAUUCUAGAAACUUUGACACACAUAACUUGUUUAAAGUACUUUCAGACGACACAAAAUUCGUCUUUUUCUUCAAAUAAAUAAAGUUUAUUCCAAAUUAUUAUGAGAGCUUUUUUUUUUUCUCACUUUGAAUGUACACUUUCAAACGGGAUUUGUCUAGAAUUAUAGCUCCGGAUGGAAUUUGUCUAAAAGUAAACUUUUGAAGAUAAUUUCAUCACUCUCACUAAAAUUCACUCACUCCUACACUAUUUUGGUGCAACCUAUUGUUGAGUAUCAUGAUUUUGGUGAACAUUUCAUUAUUGAUCAAGUUUGUGUACAAUUAUGACAACUAUUCAUGUUUAGUUUUUAUGUUUCAAUAUGAGAUCAAUUUUAUAUUUUGUUGAAUAUUUAUUUCAGAAAUUUAUAGUGUUCGAGAUGACCUAUUGAAAUGAGUUUGAAAUGAAAAACCAUUAUUGGUUUUUAUUUUUAUUAUUACAAGGUUAGAUCAUGGUGAAAAUAGAAGAAAGAUGACAUUUGUAUUGGGAAGGGAUGAGAAAUAAAAAGAAUACAAGAAGUUGUUGGAAUAAGAUACAUGAUCCAUAAAAUGUGAUUGUCAAUUCAGAUUAUAAAUUAUGAGAUGUGCUUUUAGAAGAUUAGUGUAUUGUGUGAAAAUAAUCACUUUAAUCCUUGAGAUGUGUCUCAUCUUCAUUAGUAAAGAUUUCGUUCAUGUAACAAUGAUCGGAUACUAAAAUAAUCAUGUUGUUCAUUAACUAUUUGGUAAGGAACAUAAAUGUAAUAUGUUAAAAACUAAAC